UACAGAGGUCUCGAGCGUUAGGCGGAAUCACUGGGCUUAAAGCGUGUGUAGGCGGAUCGUUAAGUGCCUUGUGAAAUCCCACGGCUCAACCGUGGAACUGCUUGGCAUACUGGCGGUCUUGAGCAACCUAGGGGCGAGCGGAACAAAUGGUGGAGCGGUGAAAUGCGCAGAUAUCAUUUGGAACGCCAAUGGUGAAAACAGCUCGCUGGGGGUUUGCUGACGCUGAGACACGAAAGCCAGGGGAGCAAACGGG
rnacentral:rRNA from 1 species